GUAUUCAGCUCACUGUGCGGAUGUUCUGCUCGUAAAUACUAGCCCGUUUCGUUUUUCCGCUUCCGCCCUAGUGUUGCCAUUACUUAACUGUUUCACGUCUUAUUCAAACUACAUGUAUAUUCAUUUAAUUGGAAGUUAUGCACGUGUGAUUCAGACUUUAUUUAUAGCCUAUAAAAAGGCCUGAACGUUGUUUAGCUUAUCGCCUUAUCAAUUUGAAAUACGACCGUCUGCGGAAUAAGUCUAUUGUCGUGGGUACUUCAGGGACUGUUCUGUUUAGAAUACCGUUAACGUACAAUACCAUCAAUGGAAGAAGGGAAGACCUGCAGCAGAAGCCACACAGCCAGCCAGCACAUAUUGGCAAUCCAGCAAAACCGUCACCCCUGCUUUGUUAGGGAGCCUACGCCCGGGCAGAGGGGGUUGCCUCGAGGCCUGAUCCACGCUCCUGCCAAGUUUGCUCGGGUGCUGAGCGUCAUCUAAGAGCAGGGAAUUUGCACGUACUCCUCGUCUCAUCUUGGCACGUAAUCCACUUGAUGCCUAUUUUACUGUCGGCCAGGGUCUGAAUACCGAGCUGCAUCACGCC